GACGAACGCUGGCGGCGUGCUUAACACAUGCAAGUCGAACGAAGUGGCGAACGGGUGAGUAACGCGUAAUCAACCUGCCCUUCAGAGGGGGACAACAGUUGGAAACGACUGCUAAUACCGCAUACUGAAGGAGGGGAUUGCGUCUGAUUAGCUAGUUGGAGGGGUAACGGCCCACCAAGGCGAUGAUCAGUAGCCGGGCUUGGAGGGUGAACGGCCACAUUGGGAACUGGACACGGCCCAGGCUUCUUCGGGAGGGAGCAGGGGGGAAACUUCCGCAAUGGACGAAAGUCUGACGGAGCAACGCCGCGGGAGUGAUGACGGCCUUUGGGUUGGAAAGCUCUGUUAAUCGGGACGCGGUACCGGAAUAGAAAGCCACGGCUAACUACGUGCCAGCAGCCGCGGUAAUAC
rnacentral:rRNA from 1 species